CUCCGGAGGCAGCGGCCUCGGAUUCCUCCCGUUCGUUCGUGAUAGUGCCAUUUCCAUCUCCCAAUUUCCGAACGUUUUCUCCAGAGAUCUGACGAAACAAAGCUUCAAAAAGAGAACUCAACAGAAUAUCAACAUAAUUUCGUGGCUGCCUCAAGAUUUUCAAGAUGGUUAAGAAACUGAGGAUCUUUGGUUUGAAUUCUGGUGCGGCCAGUGAAGAGCGAUCCUGCAAGAAAGCUUGCAAAGCAGAGGACCAAGAUCAAUAAAUGUGGCCCAAAAUUGAGCUUUAGGGACAAAUGAGAUGUUUCAAAAGGGAAUUUGAAGUACGCAGAGGCUCGCAGCGCAUUUCGGCUUAGCCGCUGGCUGAGGAGGUUGCAAGUGGGUAGCAAAUGCGU